GAGAGAUGUAGCUAACAAAGAGCUGUGAAAACGAGUGGUGAGCACAAACCUCAAGAUCAUGGUUUUCUGUUUAGGGCUUGAUCCUCUUCUGUCCUCAAUAGAGACAUGAUGAUCCAGAGGUGAUGGGAGGAGAUUACCUCACUAGUUGUCUGCAAGUAUUUUCCUUUAAGCAAUCUCUGAACUCAGCUUUCACAGUGCAGAACACAGAUGUCCUUCCAAGUUCUUAAACUCAGGGAAAGAAUGAGUUAAAAACUGAUUACUACAUUAUCCCACCACUACUCAGAAUUCUGU